rnacentral:rRNA from 1 species
UACGUAGGGUGCGAGCGUUGUCCGGAAUUACUGGGCGUAAAGAGCUCGUAGGUGGUUUGUCGCGUUGUUCGUGAAAUCUCACGGCUUAACUGUGAGCGUGCGGGCGAUACGGGCAGACUUGAGUACUGCAGGGGAGACUGGAAUUCCUGGUGUAGCGGUGGAAUGCGCAGAUAUCAGGAGGAACACCGGUGGCGAAGGCGGGUCUCUGGACCGAGACUGACGCUGAGGCGCGAAAGCGUGGGGAGCGAACAGG